GUGCUCUCUUUGGCAGCACAUAUAACAAAAUUGGAAUGACCGAAAUUAGCAUAUCCCCUACAUAAGGAUGACACACAGAUUUGUGAAGCAUUCUGUAUUUUU
ensembl:snRNA U6 U6 spliceosomal RNA